rnacentral:rRNA from 1 species
GACGAACGCUGGCGGCGUGCUUAACACAUGCAAGUCGAACGGAAAGGCCCUGCUUUUGUGGGGUGCUCGAGUGGCGAACGGGUGAGUAACACGUGAGUAACCUGCCCUUGACUUUGGGAUAACUUCAGGAAACUGGGGCUAAUACCGGAUAGGAGCUCCUGCUGCAUGGUGGGGGUUGGAAAGUUUCGGCGGUUGGGGAUGGACUCGCGGCUUAUCAGCUUGUUGGUGGGGUAGUGGCUUACCAAGGCUUUGACGGGUAGCCGGCCUGAGAGGGUGACCGGCCACAUUGGGACUGGGAUACGGCCCAGACUCCUACGGGAGGCAGCAGUGGGGAAUAUUGCACAAUGGGCGGAAGCCUGAUGCAGCAACGCCGCGUGCGGGAUGACGGCCUUCGGGUUGUAAACCGCUUUCGCCUGUGACGAAGCGUGAGUGACGGAAAUGGGUAAAGAAGCACCGGCGAACUACGU